rnacentral:rRNA from 1 species
GACAGAGGGGGCAAGCGUUGCUCGGAAUUACUGGGCGUAAAGGGCGCGUAGGCGGCCAUUCAAGUCAGGGGUGAAAGCCUGUGGCUCAACCACAGAAUUGCCUUUGAUACUGUUUGGCUAGAGACCGGAAGAGGUAAGUGGAACUGCGAGUGUAGAGGUGAAAUUCGUAGAUAUUCGCAAGAACACCAGUGGCGAAGGCGGCUUACUGGUCCGGUUCUGACGCUGAGGCGCGAAAGCGUGGGGAGCAAACAGG